rnacentral:rRNA from 1 species
CCUACGGGAGGCAGCAGUAGGGAAUUUUCGUCAAUGGGCGCAAGCCUGAACGAGCAAUGCCGCGUGAACGAGGAAGGUCUUCGGAUCGUAAAGUUCUGUUGAAGGGGAAAAAGAGCGGAGAGAGGAAAUGGUCUCCGAUUGAUAUUACCCUUCGAGGAAGUCACGGCUAACUACGUGCCAGCAGCCGCGGUAAUACGUAGGUGGCGAGCGUUAUCCGGAAUGAUUGGGCGUAAAGGGUGCGUAGGCGGCCUGCUAAGUCUGGAGUGAAAGGUACCGGCUCAACCGGUACAGGCUCUGGCAACUGGCGGGGUAGAGAGCAGCAGAGGGCGGUGGAACUCCAUGUGUAGCGGUAAAAUGCGUAGAUAUAUGGAAGAACACCAGUGGCGAAGGCGGCCGCCUGGCCUGUUACUGACGCUGAGGCACGAAAGCGUGGGGAGCAAAUAGGAUUAGAUACCUUGUAGUC